rnacentral:rRNA from 1 species
GUUGUAGUUUGAAGAAGUGUUUUCCGCGGCGGCUGCAGUACAAAUCCUUUGGAACAGGGUAUCAGAGAGGGUGAGAAUCCCGUCUUUGACUGCAGACUAGUUGCACUGUGAUACACUUUCUAAGAGUCGAGUUGUUUGGGAAUGCAGCUCAAAAUGGGUGGUAAAUUUCAUCUAAAGCUAAAUAUUGGCAAGAGACCGAUAGCGAACAAGUACCGUGAGGGAAAGAUGAAAAGAACUUUGAAAAGAGAGUUAAAUAGUACGUGAAAUUGUUAAAAGGGAAACGCUUGAAGUCAGUGUUGCCGGCGGAAAAUCAGCUUCAGACUGGAGACUUGCGUGGGUGGAGGGAGUGUUAAAACCCCUUGCCUACGUACAGGCGCCUGGAUGGAGUGCACUUUUCAGUCGGCAGGUCAACAUCAAUUUCAGCCGGUGGAAAAAAGCUAGCGGAACGUAGGUUGGAGCAAUCUAACUGUUAUAGCCGCCUGCCAAUACACUGGGUGGGAUUGAGGACAGCAGUGCAGGCCAUUAUGGCGGAAGCUCAGUGUCAUUCUCCGGGGGGCAUGUCAAGACAGCUUGCUGACUUGGUGUGUACACUCUUGGGAACGAUGCGGAUGUA